UUGCUCUAUAUUCUUGCAGAAAACUAGGAGGAAUAAUUUCAUUGCUAGAUGAAGCUUGGUUUGUGGUGGAUUAAAUGAGUCGUACGUUGAGCAGAAGAGGCUUGUGAAUUCAGAAGAAAAGUUGUACCAGAUGGCUAGAUAGUUGCAUAUUUAAUAUGUUUAGUAAUUUUGUAAGGCAUAAUAGUAUUAGAUAGAGCAGUAGUUGAAUUUUGACUAUAUUCAAAUAGUGUAUGAAUUCUUUUUUAUGAUAAUAAUAUAUGGAUUUUGAUUAUU